GCCUCCUUGGCUCAGUUGGUUAGAGCGCCAGUCUCAUAUUAUUAUAUGAGGGUGAUUAUGUCAUCCGGCAAUCUGGAGGUCACAAGUUCGAGCCUUGUAGGGGGCA